ensembl:lncRNA
AACAAAUUGCACAGUCACCCUGUGUACAGAGGCCAUCACAUGCUCUCUGAUCAUGUUCUUACCGGGUGUAUUGAGCACGUGGUGCGGCUGGAGGAGGUGGAGUGGGAAGGGAAGGUGACUUGUCCACACUGACACAGUGAGUAAGUGGCACAGCCACUGAAGGGAACCCAGAACUCUGACUCACAAGCUACUCUUUCCUGACACCACCCUGCUGAAAGGUGUAGGAGGAACAGGAUGGGUCAUGGACAGCACAUGAGGGCCAAAUGGGCUGGAGUGUUCAGUUUAGGUUUGUGAGAGAAGAAAUGACUGAAAUGCACCUUGACAGUGAAGAUGGUCACCAUGCUUGCAUCCUGACAGUAGUGAUUGGGAACCAUCUCUGAAAUUGAGGAUGGAGACAGAGCCGCCUUUUGUUACCUGUUGUGACUAGCAGUGGUCCAGUGGUCAUAGGCACACUGCCUAUGAGGAAACUGAGGCUCAAGAAAUUUGAGUCAAGUUCCCAAGAGAAACAUCUUACAAGCAGAGAUGGGAUUUAAAGAGAGGUUGCUUCUAACUACUGGGCUCUACUACCAGCCAAUGAGACUUGAACAGUUAUCACUGAAACUGACCCUCAUUUUCUAAGGGUCAGGGAUGGACUGAGAAAAAUGGUACUUGGAAUGUAGACACCAGGAUGCACUGAGGCCCCUACCUUGCACAAGAGAAUUGUGGGCACUCUCGUGUCCCUCAGUAAUGGGCACUUGACUUGUCUGAAUGGCUUACAUGCAGCCCAAAUGGCAGGCGCUGGGACUGCCGGCACAACUGCUGUCGGGAGAAGGUCUGUCCCUGUGCCACCCUGGCAACAAUGGACCAGCCUAUCUAGAAUCUUCUCUGCUGGCCAAGGCACUCUGCAACAUGAAGCGGCAAAGAGAGUAAAAGUGCUGAGCUUCUGCCAUAAAUCCAGUGCUGCACAGCGCCCCAUCCAUUUGGACCACUCACUGUCCAUCCUCUGUGGCAGCGGUCAUAGCCACUGUGCUGAUAGACUCUGUUUGCUACUCUUGAUUGAGUCUGAGUGACCUCCUGAUAAAGCUUUCCUUUAGGCCGCAAAGUGCGCAUCUCCUUUCCAUUUCAAUCAUCUGCAUCAUAAGUGUUUUCCACUUAAUGAGCACACACAGCCAUGAACAAUCCAGUGUGACUUGUAGCACUGUUAUCACGAGCAUCAGUUGGAAGGAUGGCCAAAAAAUCUCACCUGGAAAAGCACAGGACAGUGAGCAUCUGUGCUCCAUGCACCCAACUGCACCGAGACCCUUCUGCACUAAUGAGCAGGGCAGGCAGCUUGCUCCAGCACAGCUCAGUCACCCUGCAUUCCCCAGGCAAGGUGCUGCUCCCAUCAGGAGCUAAAGUCUUCCUGGAAAAGGAGAGCUGCUUUUCUCUCCCUGUUGGCCACCGCCCACUGGAGAGGUAGAAAUUGUUAAAGAUAUGUUUAUCAUAGUCCCUGCCCCAGUAACAAAUCACCUAAUGUGAAAUGCAGGGACAAAACAAGUAUGUAAAGAACUUUCAGGAAACUAAACAAGUAUGAUAAAAAUCUUUGGAUUAUAUACAGGCAAAAGGAAACUGCAUUUUCUGACAAAUGAAUACAAGUUGUAAGUGAGCCUUUGGGGGAGGAAUAACCAUCUUUCCUCCAAAUUUCCAGAAACUUGGUGAAGAAAUUUUUUUAAUCCUUACACCCUAAUUAGUUUAGUAACAAAUGAUGAGCAUAGUCAAGACUGUUGAAAGUAAGAGAAACAGAACUCAAAUAAAGGGCAAUAUAUUUAUUCAUUAUCUAAAAAUAUUCAGAACAGUUCCAGAUAUUCAAACAAUGUCUUCAGACUUAUUCUACAGGCUUCUGUUUUGCCUUCCUCUCCCAAUUUCAUUCUCAAGAAGGUAAUCCUUUUUUUAUUUUUUUUAUUUUUUUUGACAAGAUGUCCAACAGAAGUUCUGGGCUAAUUUUCUGGAGCCAAGAAGAGAAUUUCUCUUUUCCAGUACAUAUAGCCUAGUAGACGCCAACCGUAGGCUCACAGCCUCGCCUCUGACAGUCUCCUCAGUAACAUCUGCUCACUCCUGAAGCAUCAGCCUACUGAACCCUCUUGUUGGCCACUUAUGAACCUUGUGAUCUGUCCUGGGCUGCUGUAAGAGUCAACUCCACCAGAACCCAGGGACUGCGGGGCAGGGGGGGGGGGCCUCCCUAAAGAGAACUAGGGUCCUGCUCUCAUGGGAAGAAAUGAGUGUUGGGCAGACAAAAGCAACAAAUACCAUGACAUGGAACAAAAAUAAAUGUACAUUGCUACAGGAUUCUCAUUAAGAACUUUAAAAUCAUUCCCAGCUUUAUAAAGUAAUUUUUAAAAGGUCAACUACCUGGGUCUUUCAUAGAAUUUAUGAUUGCUUUGACCUAGUAUGCAGGUCAACAAAAAAUUCUUUGUACCUCUUACCAAUAAUGGUUGGCCAGGAACAUUUCCUGUUAAUUCCUACUUUAGAAUAUUGCAUAAGUCCUUAUUUCAGAAAUAAACAAAUAUAGAUUAAAAACAAACCAAAAAACUCAAAAAGUGUUCUGGUGAAAGUUUUCUAUAUUCACAUCACAUUUUUUUUAGCAAGAAAGACUAUCUGGCUAAAUAAUAAUUUAGAUUUUAAAAAAGAAAAAAUAGCAAUAGCUAUUUAUAAUAAAUACAAAGAGAUAAUAAGAAAAGAUAAAAUUUAAAAAAGUAGCCAUUCACUUGUUGCAAAUGCAAAGAAGACAUAUAAAAAGAAGUCUUUCAUGGGGUAGAUUUUGCCAUUUUCUAG